rnacentral:lncRNA from 1 species
AUAAAAAAGUUGACCAUUCAAAAACUAUUGAAUCUUGUAUUUCAAAAAAUGCAAACCAAACAUUUAAAAAUGUUAAAAUGUCCAUAGAAAUAUGUUGACCCUGUAUUAAAAAAAUAUUAAACUUAUAUAUAAUUUUCCUAAAUAUGUAUUAGAAAAAUGUUCUUAGUGUAUACAAAAAAAUUUGAAUGAAAACCGAAAAAAAAAA